rnacentral:tRNA from 1 species
GGGCGGUUAGCUCAGUUGGUCAGAGCGCUGCGUUGACAUCGCAGAGGUCACUGGUUCAAGUCCAGUAUCGCCCACCA